rnacentral:rRNA from 1 species
AGAGUUUGAUCAUGGCUCAGGAUGAACGCUAGCGGCAGGCCUAAUACAUGCAAGUCGAACGGUAAGUAUGAUAGCAAUAUUAUACGAGAGUGACGCACGGGUGCGUAACACGUAUGCAACCUACCCUUUACAGGCGGAUAGCUCGGGGAAACUCGAAUUAACCCGCCAUAAUAUAAUUGUGUGGCAUCAUAUGAUUAUUAAAACUGAGGUGGUAAAGGAUGGGCAUGCGUCUGAUUAGUUAGUUGGUAGUGUAACGGACUACCAAGACGAUGAUCAGUAGGGGAACUGAGAGGUUGAUCCCCCACACUGGCACUGAGAUACGGGCCAGACUCCUACGGGAGGCAGCAGUAGGGAAUAUUGGUCAAUGGGUGAGAGCCUGAACCAGCCAUGCCGCGUGCAGGAAGACGGCCUUCUGGGUUGUAAACUGCUUUUGCCAGGGGAUAAAAAGUCCUUGCGAGGAUAAUUGAAGGUACCUGGUGAAUAAGCCACGGCUAACUACGUGCCAGCAGCCGCGGUAAUACGUAGGUGGCAAGCGUUGUCCGGAUUUAUUGGGUUUAAAGGGUGCGUAGGCGGCCUAUUAAGUCAGUGCUGAAAUAUCCCGGCUUAACCGGGAGGGUGGCAUUGAUACUGAUGGGCUAGAGUACAGAUGAGGUAGGCGGAAUUGACGGUAGCGGUGAAAUGCUUAGAUAUCGUCAAGAACACCUAUAGCGAAGGCAGCUUACUAGGCUGUAACUGACGCUGAGGCACGAAAGUGUGGGGAUCAAACAGGAUUAGAUACCCUAGUAGUCC